CAGAGGUCUAAACUUACAACCAAUUUUUUAUCAACUUGUCACACCAGAUUAUUACUAAUAGUCAAAACUUUCAACAACGGAUCUCUUGGUUCUCGCAUCGAUGAAGAACGCAGCGAAAUGCGAUACGUAAUAUGAAUUGCAGAUAUUCGUGAAUCAUCGAAUCUUUGAACGCACAUUGCGCCCUCUGGUAUUCCGGAGGGCAUGCCUGUUUGAGCGUCGUUUCUCCCUCAAACCGCUGGGUUUGGUGUUGAGCAAUACGACUUGGGUUUGCUUGAAAGACGGUAGUGGUAAGGCGGGAUCGCUUUGACAAUGGCUUAGGUCUAACCAAAAACAUUGCUUGCGGCGGUAACGUCCACCACGUAUAUCUUCAAACUUUGACCUCAAAUCAGGUAGGACUACCCGCUGAACUUAAGCAUAUCA
rnacentral:rRNA from 1 species